ACGAGCUUUAAUAUAGUAAACCUCAAUCCAAGAUUGCAGCUGAAGAAAGACCAAGAUAUGUCGUUUUCGGACCGUCUAAGCAGUAGCCGCGGCUCUAACACAUCCUUCACCAAUCAUCCAUAAUCUUCAUUGAAACAACAUAAAUCAUGGGGUGAUGAGAUGGAAACACUGUCAUCCAAUUGCCGAUAACCAAGUCCUGUUUCAGUUCUUGAACCGUCCUUUUCAAUCGAAAGUUGUGAAUCCUCGAUGAGCAUGGAUGUUACUGGUAUCGAAGGAAGCAAGAUGUUUUCAUCUAUUCAAGCUCAGGAGAUCCAUGGCUUCAAUUUUUCAAGGAAAUUCUAUCCUACUGAAUCUGAUGCAGAGCUAUCUGAUUCAGCUUCUUCAACCUCAACCAGGACAAUGAUUAAGAAGCACGCGGAUACAUUCUCUAUGAAGUUUGGAAGAUCAUCAAGUACACGGGAGCUAGAAUAUGUGAAAGAGAUACUAUGUAAUGUUCAGUUGAUAUAUAUAGAUUUUUCCCUCGGCCGAGCACGCGAGGUUGUGAACUCUCAUUUGUUCAAUCAGUUGGAAGCCGAAGGGGAUGUUACAAGAGUGACGAUGAAUCGAGGAUAGAAAGGAAGGUUAUAUUUGAUAUUCUGAGUGAAUGUUUGGAUUUGAGGUGCAUGAGUUAUGUAGGAGGAGGAUACAGAAUAUGGACUAAAGCGUUUGAAAUGGUGAGGAGGAAAGAUUGGUUGGCAAAAGAUGUGUACAAGGAAAUUUUGGGGUUGAGAGGGAUGAGAGAUUCAAUGGUGGAGGAACUUGUGGACAAGGAUAUGAGUAGCCAAUAUGGAAAGUGGUUGGAUUAUGAGGUUGAUGCUUAUGAAUUUGGUGAAGAAGUUGUGGAUCAGAUUUUUGAUUCUUUGGAUGAUGAUGUUGUCUAUGAAAUGUUGCAAGUUUAAACACUUUGAUGGUUGAUUUUCUGGCUGUUUGGUUGAAAUUGAAAUCUUUGUUAUUGUUCUCUUAUUUCAUGGAAGUUGUAUUAUUAUCAAAAGUUU